rnacentral:lncRNA from 1 species
CUCUCUAAUUUAGUAAUCAAAAUUGAAUCAACACCUUUUUUUUCUAAUAUGAAAAUGCAAUGCAAUCAUAACCAAAACAAAAUGAAACAGAUUGGUGCAAAGCAAAAACAAACAAGAAAAAUAAAUAGGGUACCUAUUCGGGUGACCACUAGGGGUUUGGAGUGGUUCUACCUAGGGUGGGCUCCUAAGGUCUUCUACAUGCGGUUUGGUUCUAAAGUUGAGGUACCCGAACCAGCAGAUUCCUCAAU